rnacentral:rRNA from 1 species
CAGUCGCCGCGGUAAUACGUAGGGUGCGAGCGUUGUCCGGAAUUACUGGGCGUAAAGAGCUCGUAGGCGGUUUGUCGCGUCGUUCGUGAAAUCUUGGGGCUUAACUUCAAGCGUGCGGGCGAUACGGGCAGACUUGAGUACUACAGGGGAGACUGGAAUUCCUGGUGUAGCGGUGAAAUGCGCAGAUAUCAGGAGGAACACCGGUGGCGAAGGCGGGUCUCUGGGUAGUAACUGACGCUGAGGAGCGAAAGCGUGGGUAGCGAACAGGAUUAGAUACCCGCGUAGUCCCUGUCUCUUAUAC